rnacentral:rRNA from 1 species
CCUACGGGAGGCAGCAGUAGGGAAUCUUCCACAAUGGACGAAAGUCUGAUGGAGCAACGCCGCGUGAGUGAAGAAGGGUUUCGGCUCGUAAAGCUCUGUUGGUCGUGAAGAAAGAUAGAGGUAGUAACUGGCCUUUAUUUGACGGUAAUUACUUAGAAAGUCACGGCUAACUACGUGCCAGCAGCCGCGGUAAUACGUAGGUGGCAAGCGUUGUCCGGAUUUAUUGGGCGUAAAGCGAGUGCAGGCGGUUCAAUAAGUCUGAUGGGAAAGCCUUCGGCUCAACCGGAGAAUUGCAUCAGAAACUGUUGAACUUGAGUGCAGAAGAGGACAGUGGAACUCCAUGUGGAGCGGUGGAAUGCGUAGAUAUAUGGAAGAACACCAGUGGCGAAGGCGGCUGUCUGGUCUGCAACUGACGCUGAGGCUCGAAAGCAUGGGUAGCGAACAGGAUUAGAUACCCCAGUAGUC